GACGAACGCUGGCGGCGUGCUUAACACAUGCAAGUCGAGGGGGAGUAGGGGCGAACUCUACUUCACCGGCGAACGGGUGCGUAACACGUGAGCGACCUACCCUGGUGUGGGGGAUAGCCGGCCCAACGGCCGGGUAAUACCGCAUACGCUCUGUGAGGGGCAUCCCUUGGAGAGCAAAGCUGUGGGGCAACUCACGGCGCAUUGGGAGGGGCUCGCGGCUUAUCAGCUAGUUGGCGAGGUAACGGCUCACCAAGGCGACGACGGGUAGCUGGUCUGAGAGGAUGGCCAGCCACAUUGGGACUGAGAGACGGCCCAGACUCCUACGGGAGGCAGCAGUGGGGAAUCUUGCGCAAUGGGCGAAAGCCUGACGCAGCGACGCCGCGUGCGGGA
rnacentral:rRNA from 1 species